UGGGGAAUAUUGCACAAUGGGCGCAAGCCUGAUGCAGCCAUGCCGCGUGUAUGAAGAAGGCCUUCGGGUUGUAAAGUACUUUCAGCGGGGAGGAAGGUGUUGUGGUUAAUAACCACAGCAAUUGACGUUACCCGCAGAAGAAGCACCGGCUAACUCCGUGCCAGCAGCCGCGGUAAUACGGAGGGGGCAAGCGGUAAUCGGAAUUACUGGGCGUAAAGCGCACGCAGGCGGUCUGUCAAGUCGGAUGUGAAAUCCCCGGGCUCAACCUGGGAACUGCAUCCGAAACUGGCAGGCUUGAGUCUUGUAGAGGGGGGUAGAAUUCCAGGUGUAGCGGUGAAAUGCGUAGAGAUCUGGAGGAAUACCGGUGGCGAAGGCGGCCCCCUGGACAAAGACUGACGCUCAGGUGCGAAAGCGUGGGGAGCAAACA
rnacentral:rRNA from 1 species